GCCUACGGGGCGCAGCAGUAGGGAAUCUUCCACAAUAGGCGAAAGCCUGAUGGAGCAACGCCGCGUGGGUGAAGAAGGUCUUCGGAUCGUAAAACCCUGUUGUUAGAGAAGAAAGUGCGUGAGAGUAACUGUUCACGUUUCGACGGUAUCUAACCAGAAAGCCACGGCUAACUACGUGCCAGCAGCCGCGGUAAUACGUAGGUGGCAAGCGUUAUCCGGAUUUAUUGGGCGUAGAGGGAACGCAGGCGGUCUUUUAAGUCUGAUGUGAAAGCCUUCGGCUUAACCGGAGUAGGGGAUUGGAAACU
rnacentral:rRNA from 1 species